rnacentral:rRNA from 1 species
GAUGAACGCUGGCGGCGUGCUUAACACAUGCAAGUCGAACGAUGAAGCCCAGCUUGCUGGGUGGAUUAGUGGCGAACGGGUGAGUAACACGUGAGUAACCUGCCCUUAACUCUGGGAUAAGCCUGGGAAACUGGGUCUAAUACCGGAUAGGAGCGUCCACCGCAUGGUGGGUGUUGGAAAGAUUUAUCGGUUUUGGAUGGACUCGCGGCCUAUCAGCUUGUUGGUGAGGUAAUGGCUCACCAAGGCGACGACGGGUAGCCGGCCUGAGAGGGUGACCGGCCACACUGGGACUGCGACACGGCCCAGACUCCUACGGGAGGCAGCAGUGGGGAAUAUUGCGCAAUGGGCGCAAGCCUGAUGCAGCGACGCCGCGUGAGGGAUGACGGCCUUCGGGUUGUAAACCUCUUUCAGUAGGGAAGAAGCGAAAGUGACGGUACCUGCAGAAGAAGCACCGGCUAACUACGUG